rnacentral:rRNA from 1 species
UACGUAGGGUGCGAGCGUUGUCCGGAAUUAUUGGGCGUAAAGGGCUCGUAGGCGGUUUGUCGCGUCGGGAGUGAAAACACACAGCUUAACUGUGUGCUUGCUUCCGAUACGGGCAGACUAGAGGUAUGCAGGGGAGAACGGAAUUCCUGGUGUAGCGGUGAAAUGCGCAGAUAUCAGGAGGAACACCGGUGGCGAAGGCGGGUCUCUGGGCAGUAACUGACGCUGAGGCACGAAGGCCAGGGGAGCAAACGGG